GGUUGGUCCAAGUGCAGUGGUGUUUACAACUAAUUGAUCACAACCAGUUACAGAUUCCUUUGUUCCUUCUCCACUCCCACUGCUUCACUUGACCAGCCUUCA
rnacentral:Y_RNA from 1 species